rnacentral:rRNA from 1 species
UACGAAGGGGGCUAGCGUUGCUCGGAAUGACUGGGCGUAAAGGGCGCGUAGGCGGUUUGGACAGUCAGGCGUGAAAUUCCUGGGCUUAACCUGGGGGCUGCGCUUGAUACAUCCAGACUUGAGUGGGGAAGAGGGUCGUGGAAUUCCCAGUGUAGAGGUGAAAUUCGUAGAUAUUGGGAAGAACACCGGUGGCGAAGGCGGCGACCUGGUCCUUUACUGACGCUGAGGCGCGAAAGCGUGGGGAGCAAACAGGAUUAGAUACCCUGGUAGUCCACGCUGUAAACGAUGUGUGCUGGAUGUUGGGUGACCUAGUCACUCAGUGUCGUAGCUAACGCGGUAAGCACACCGCCUGGGGAGUACGGCCGCAAGGUUGAA